CUGAUGAGCUGCAUACGAAAAACUGAAAUAGUUACAUUGUUCUUAAUGCAAUUUUGAAUUUCGAUCCAUGGAAAAAAGUUCAGCUCAACUAUUGAAAUGAAAAUCAUUAUUACCUUUGGAUUUUUAAAUCCAAAUGGAUGAAUACAAACAAAUAGAAAUUUUAAUAUAUUUAAUAUUUUUCAUCAACAGACAACAAUCAAAACUUUUUCACAUAUGCUGAAUAUAAAUGAAUUUUAUAAUUCAAUUCCAUAUCGCCCUCCAAUACGUUGCAGUGUCUCUGAAACUUCUUUCAUUGAUGGUCGGAAUAUGGGAUCAUAAUUAAGACAUUUAACAGCAAGCAGAGCAAUUUCUGCAGCGUCUUUGGCAGAGUAUUUUCCCUCCAAUCUGCUGUCCAUUAUGCUUCUCAACCUUCUUUUGUUGUUGAGAAGUGGUUUAACCCACCCCACCAGGUCUUGUUGCCCAGAUGGACGUUUUUUAUCGAUUGCCCGCAAGCCGGUUAGCAUCUCGAUCAAAACAACGCCAAAACUAUACACAUCGCUCUUUAUAUACAAGUUUCCAGUGGCAAUAUAUUCAGGAGCAACAUAACCAUAUGUGCCCAUAACAUGUCCUGUUACACAUGAAUUACCAGCUGUAGGUCCCCACUUUGCCAAGCCAAAAUCUGAUAUUUUUGCAUUGUAAUU
rnacentral:misc_RNA from 1 species